GCACUAUUCACGUAUACGGCACUAUUCACGAAUACAGCACUAUUCACCGAAAAAUAAAAUUUUUUCUUUUUGUCCAAAAUAUCUAUUCUGGAUACUAGCUUUGAUUGUAUCCAUGUUUUGAUCAUUCUUGAAUUUUACACCAAUAUGAUUAUUUUCGAAGUAUUUUUGGACAUGGGUAAAACAAAGUACGAAUCCUUAAUCCUUAAUCCUUGUCAUUUUGUUUCACUGGAUUCGUUUCUUUAAAAAU
rnacentral:lncRNA from 1 species